UUGUGUGUUUAUAGAUCUGGGUGCAAUUUCUAUACAUUUCUUCAUUGAAUAUGGAGAACACUUCAAUUCUUACCUAGGCAGCAUGAUGUACAGAGUCUGUGAUAGACAUCUACAACCUGUCAACUCACCAGAUUCAUCUGUUCAGUACCAGCCUGCUGUUAUAUCUGGGUUUAGAGUCUCCAGACACAUGGGAGUAAAUGUGAAGAUUAAUGUAUUUACAAAAAUUAGUAUAAUCUAGUAAUUGUAUAACUUUACCCUAGUGUUUAUACUUAUUUGAAAUAAAUUUUAUAUUUUUUGUGUU